AUCUAGCUGACGAGUCUCAAAUAGGAUGAAACGCGUGUUGUCCUGGAU
rnacentral:hammerhead_ribozyme from 1 species